UAGGGAAUCUUCCACAAUGGACGCAAGUCUGAUGGAGCAACGCCGCGUGAGUGAAGAAGGUUUUCGGAUCGUAAAGCUCUGUUGUUGGUGAAGAAGGAUAGAGGCAGUAACUGGUCUUUAUUUGACGGUAAUCAACCAGAAAGUCACGGCUAACUACGUGCCAGCAGCCGCGGUAAUACGUAGGUGGCAAGCGUUGGCCGGAUUUAUUGGGAGCAAAGCGAGCGCAGGCGGAAUGAUAAGUCUGAUGUGAAAGCCCACGGCUCAACCGUGGAACUGCAUCGGAAACUGUCAUUCUUGAGUGCAGAAGAGGAGAGUGGAAUUCCAUGUGUAGCGGUGGAAUGCGUAGAUAUAUGGAAGAACACCAGAGGCGAAGGCGGCUCUCUGGUCUGCAACUGACGCUGAGACUCGAAAGCAUGGGUAGCGAACAGG
rnacentral:rRNA from 1 species